UACAGAGGUCUCAAGCGUUGUUCGGAUUCAUUGGGCGUAAAGCGCACGUAGGCGGAUUGUUAAGUCAGGGGUGAAAUCCUGGAGCUCAACUCCAGAACUGCCUUUGAUACUGGCGAUCUCGAGUCCGGGAGAGGUGAGUGGAACUGCGAGUGUAGAGGUGAAAUUCGUAGAUAUUCGCAAGAACGCCAGUGGCGAAGGCGAGUCUCUGGACAGUUACUGACGCUGAGGCACGAAGGCCAGGGGAGCAACGGG
rnacentral:rRNA from 1 species